rnacentral:rRNA from 1 species
GACGAACGCUGGCGGCGCGCUUAACACAUGCAAGUCGAGCGAGAACCAGCCCUUCGGGGCUGGGGAAAGCGGCGAACGGGUGAGUAACACGUGGGUAAUCUGCCCUCGGCACCGGAAUAGCCCGGGGAAACCCGGAUUAAUGCCGGAUAGCCUCUCCAGCCCUUGGGUUGGUGAGAAAAGGUAGCUUCGGCCUCUGGCCGAGGAGGAGCCCGCGGCGGAUUAGCUUGUUGGUGGGGUAACGGCCCACCAAGGCGACGAUCCGUAGCUGGGCUGAGAGGACGAUCAGCCGCACUGGGACUGGGGCACGGCCCAGACUCCUACGGGAGGCAGCAGUGGGGAAUCUUGCGCUAAUGCGGGCAACCGUGACGCAGCGACGCCGCGUGAGGGAAGAAGGCCUUCGGGUUGUAAACCUCUUUCAGGAGGGACGAAGCCACUCGGGUGAAUAGCCCAGAGGGUGACGGUACCUCCAGAAGAAGCCCCGGCUAACUACGUGCCAGCAGCCGCCGUAACAC